rnacentral:lncRNA from 1 species
UGACAUUUAUUAGUGGCUUCAUCAACAAUGACAAAAGAUCCCUGCUCAAAUCUUAAAUCUAGGCUCGAGUUUUAGAUUAACACAUCCAAUAAUCUCCAACAAUUAUAAGAAAAUUCAGGAGCCCAAUCCAAACAUGAGAAUUCAAAUAAUUAGAAUUCUCCCAUCAAUAUGCAUACUCUAUGGCCUCAAAAUAAUCAAAUACAUCCAUAGGAAAUAGACCUAUUUGCAAUAUCCAACAUGCCAACACCAGAUAUAAUCCACAUACAUUUUCAACUUCGAAGAACGUUCCUUUCAAUAUUAUGAAAUCUCCUUAGCUUACUCCAAUACUAAAUCAACANNNNNNNNNNNNNNNNNNNNNNNNNAGCAAAACCAAAAGUAUGAUCACAUCAAAACCCACAUCAAAUUUGAACAUUCAAAUCAUUUAAAUAAUAUCUGAACAUGGUAUACUCGAUAUGCCAUUGUUGACCUACACUUAUCUUAGGUCAAACCUCUCUUAUCAUGAUCAAAGACAAUUUAUACUUUCCUUCCG